GUCGUCUGGAUCCAACAGAAUACCGUCUGGUUGCUGGCCAAUAAAUCUGCCACACACAAACACAAAGGAAAUUGAAUGAAACUGUUUUGGGAGCCAGUCAUUAUUAGUAAUCUUUGGGUUUUGGAUUGCUGGUUGAACAAAAGAAGCAGCUUGAAGAUGUCCCUCUGGGCUCUGGGAAAUUGUGGUUUGUCCCAGUCAUCCUCACUGAAGCCUCCAUCGCUGAAGGGGUAGUUCUUCCGGCGUCCAGGUGGAGGUGUGGUGCUGCGCUGCUGCUUGGCACUACGCCAUUCAUGGGGGUGGAGGGCGAUACCAGCUGC